rnacentral:RNase_P_RNA from 1 species
CAAGUAGGACAAAUGGUCGCGGCUGUCUUUAUGACAGGUGAGGAAAGUCCGGGCUUCACAGGGCAGGAUGCCGGAUAACGUCCGGUGGAGGCGACUCCAAGGAAAGUGCAACAGAAAUGUACCACCGUCAUGUCAUGCAUGACGGCCAGGGUGGAAGGGCAGUGUAAGAGACUACCGCCUGUCUGGUAACAGACAGGGCACAUGUAAACCCCAUCCGAAGCAAGACCAAACAGAAAGCGUUUGAACCGGCCCGGUGAGCUUUCAGGUAGGUUGCUUAAGACUGCUGGCAACAGCAGUAUUAGAUAGAUGACCAUUCAACGACAUAACCCGGCUUAUCGUCCUGCUUGAUAU